AUAAUGUGACCUAUGGAAAAAGAACGAAGGUAAGUAUUUCAAUGGAAAUGUUUUUUUUUCAUUUCAUGUUAGAUUGUAAUAUCGUCGAUACUCCUUUGGGAAGGGAAUAAAAUGCCUUAUAGUUAGAUAUCCGAUAAAAGAGGCUUCCAUAUAAAAACUAAAAUCUCUGCAGGCUAACGUCCUUAUAGUAUACACCCCGCAAUACGUUGAUCUCGUCGAAAGUAAAUUUAACAUUAGUAAACGGCGGUUCACGCUUUCUCCAGCUCGAUUUCCAGCACGUAAAUAUAAUUAGCGUGCUCUUGGAAUACGAAAGAAUGCUAGAUAUUAUUAUCCGGUAGUAAUACAUUUUAUUAAAGCGAAGAAAAAAAAUAUAAGGAGAGAGCUGUAGGCGAAACUGAAUAUUCGUACAGGAAUAUAAUGUACAUGUAUAUCCUUGUCAUAGGUUGCUAUAUCGAUUAAAUCUUAAGGAACCGAAUCACACGAAUUUAUAAUUUCUCGUUCGAUCAGCUGUUUGAAAACUGGGUCGUACAACGUUAAAAUACACCUACUCGAACACGUGAGUCUGGUAGAUUAUUCGAUUGACAAGUGGACUGGAAAACGAACAUGCGUAGGUUUUAAAUAUUGCGCGUCAUGUAGCUGCGCGCGCAUCCAGUAACUGUUCUGUAAUAUGACGUGAUUUGUGUGAACACUGAAUACACCUGUAGUCGAGUACAAAAUUCUCGUUCUCCUGUGCCUCCUCGCAGCGUAAAAUCACUCUAGUGACAGCGUUCGCCAUCUUGGACGAAGAUACUUUCUUAGACUGUGGCUGCUUUGGCUGGUAGUCGCCGUCAAGGGGUUAUUUUUACGUGAUUUUAUAAAUAAAUCGACCCUCUUGACCAGCCUUGACAUUCUUGGGGAUCACCGGAACCCGGAAUUUGGAUACCCGGAAACGAUUAACCACAACACGUUCAAUUAGUUUACUUUAACGAGAACAAAACAAUUAAAAAAUCGUGCCUAGCCUCGAUAAAGAAUAAAACGGUAAUUUUAACAAUUUUUUAAGAUUUCCAAGCAUGAGAAAAAAGUUCAAAUUUAUCAUAAGAGACAGUCGUUUGUCUCUAGAAGCGUCAGCGAACUACGCAUGUCGUAACGAGAAACCGAAUCCAAAUUUAAAACCCGCGAUUAUAGUUUUCACCAUUGAAUAACAUCUAACGAGUACUCACGUCAUUUUUAAUUACGUAAUAUGCUUCACGCUCCCUAAUUUCACCAAAGGAUCCACACGAAAUUCUCAUUAAAUCAAAAUCCGUAACGAGGAUAUCGGACGUCCAAGUUUCGCGUUAAAAAGAAGUACACUUUCUAGUAACGCCAUCAGACGCCAUCGUCACUCAACUCCAAGCACCCUUUCAUAUUUCAAAUUUCCCUAAGAUCUACAAGAUAAAUUAAUACCAGGAAGUUCUAGAGUAGCUACGAUCAACGAGAACGAAUAAUCAAGACUCCAAGAGGCUGAUUGGCCACUAAAAGGUUAUGGCAUCUGCCAAUUCGCAUAAACGUACUUAUCCACAUAUACGUAAGUCUCUACGCCAAGGCAUUUAUACGAUAUUGUCAGCCAGUUCCCAACAACGAAGAGGCAGAGAACUUCGAAGUACAUAGAGGAGAUUGCUUUUUGUCGCGAAUUCCUUUUCCGCGUGCGAACGCAAGGAACUCCAUAGCAUAUAUACGUAUAGUAAGGAAGGCAACGGGAGGCCAUGAGGCCUUAGGGCCUUCUUAGCGUCAAGUUGCCUUUUAAGGUUAUGCCACCGUAUACGGAGGCGCCCUGUAUUAUAUCUAACGUGCACGAGGUACCCUUGUAUAUUUUAUAUACCGUCCACUGGAUAUAUAAAGGUAUACGUAUACAUAUAUAUGUACACAAGUUUUAUUGCGUAUACAAGUCCCAACGGUGCUGACCAAACCGACAAAGACAAUGAGGCCGAUGUGUACGUGCAUAUAUAUUUUUGUUUUCUGUCUUCAGAGAAGAAUAAAAAGAAGAGAAGAGAAAGAGAAAUGGGUUUUGAGACGGAAUGCAGAAUCCUUUUGCUAGCAUUGCCAAGGCUUUAGCCUUCCUCCCAGCUUUAGUCUGUACUGGUAAUCUAUAUAUGUGUAUGCAGAUGUAUGACUGUUACUCUUGUUAUACCUAGUGACUGAUACAUAACUAGUGAUCUCUUUCCUUCUUUCUUUUAUUUAUUUUUUCAUAUCUCUCUUCUCUCUCUCUCUCUCUCUCUCUCUCUCUUACUACAGUAGCGCGUACAACCCAGCCCAAGAACAAAGACCGGACGCCGUAUUGUGCAAUCCUAUGUUUAUCCACGUAAUUAUCUAUGCUGCCGUCUCUACUAUGCAUUUCACUUUUAUUUCAACCGAUGCACCGGGUUUCCAUCGUCGUGGCUGCCACUCAGUGCAUCUUGCGCAAGAAUUCAUUACACCUGAACGGGCAUGAACGUAACGUAUAACGAACUCGCAGAUUCAGAUUCAUUUUGACUUGUGCCUUAUAUCUUGUAUGAUUUUUGUUCAAAGGAAAUUUAAAUGGAUCCAAUUGUUCUGCCUGGUAGAUCUUAACUGACGAGAAGUAUAAAAGAAAAGAAAAAAGAGACUGAGUAUAAAUUACUGCGUAGAUUUAAGAAUCAUAACUGUGCGUGGGCUGAGUACUGGUUAGACACCUCGUAACCGGAACGCGUGCUGACGCUUCUAAACAAAAGAAAAGUCUUUCCUUAUGUUGGCCAUUGUAUCGUCAAGGUCCAUUGCGACAAAGAGAUGAUAUUGCGAAGGACCAUAGGUACUUCCGGCUAAUUUUCAUUGCUUCUGGUAAACGAGACGUUGCUCCUGUAAAUAUUACGGAAAUUCACUCGGGGUUGUACUGACGUGCGACUAUCGUUUUAAUAUAUUUUUUUUUGUUACUGUGUCAUGAUGAUGUUACUGCUGUUGAAAAUUGCAGAGUGCCUAGUAUCACAGCCUAGAAGCGCGCUUGGAGUCUAAACAGUAUAUAAGAGGCUUGAAAGAACCCGUUCUCUUGGACGGGAAACUUUCGCUGGCCGCCGAUUAGAAAUCUCCUUUUAAUUUCUAAUAAAGAGAAGAAGAAUCGACAAAGUUGCAAUGAGAAGAUCCUUGAAUUAAGAUGAUGAUUCGCUGAUGAAGAUGAGGAUGAUCAAAAAAUUUUCGUAUGUCUCUACAGAGUAGCAGACCGGAAGUCUCGUUUAUAAUACUUCACGUGUAUAUACUCAUGGAACUGGAGAUAUAGAUACAGACUGACUAGAAUCAUUUAGUGGUACGUCCUUCUUGGGUACGAAUUAAAAAUGGCAGAAUAGUCAUUGGGCAAGGUCCCAGAUGUUUCCCAGUAUGGGUAACGCAAGGAUCGAGCCUUGUUCGCUUUCGUCUGAACCAGGAAGUUGAGGAUCAUACUGGGUGUUCAGCAAGUAGACACUAUAUCUACAUAUAUACAUAAUCCUUGGAUUUAAGUUAUUUUUGAAUCAUCCAUACUAUUUAACGUAGUCUUAAUAACACGUUGUCCUUCCUACUGUUUCUUAGAUUCUACAUGUCUCUUUGAGUGGCUACGUAGUGACUGUCUUUGACGAUACUUCUGGAAGCGGAAAAUCGAUAUCCAGCAAGACAUCGGGAGAUACAUCGGUCACAGGGACUGGCAGAGAAUAGGGCGCACGCACGUGUCUAAUUGCGAAAUAUCGUUAUACAUAAGAUGUCAGUGAUUGCGUCAGGAUGUAUAUCAUCAGUGUCCAUCGGUUUUGGUACUCACCUAAAUUACAAUUGUCCUGGGCUUCCUCGCAUCUGGAAACCACACGUAUAAUCGCUCGACCCGCCAAUUGUACACACACGGCCAUGGCUACGUUCCUCUCUCCCUGUUCCU